CAGUCGCCGCGGUAAUACGUAGGUGGCAAGCGUUGUCCGGAAUUAUUGGGCGUAAAGGGCUCGCAGGCGGUUUCUUAAGUCUGAUGUGAAAGCCCCCGGCUCAACCGGGGAGGGUCAUUGGAAGCUGGGAAACUUGAGUGCAGAAGAGGAGAGUGGAAUUCCACGUGUAGCGGUGAAAUGCGUAGAGAGGUGGAGGAACACCAGUGGCGAAGGCGACUCUCUGGUCUGUAACUGACGCUGAGGAGCGAAAGCGUGGGGAGCGAACAGGAUUAGAUACCCCCGUAGUCCCUGUCUCUUAUAC
rnacentral:rRNA from 1 species